rnacentral:rRNA from 1 species
GUGAGGUAACGGCCCACCAAGGCGACGACGGGUAGCUGGUCUGAGAGGACGACCAGCCACACUGGAACUGAGAUACGGUCCAGACUCCUACGGGAGGCAGCAGUGGGGAAUAUUGCACAAUGGGCGAAAGCCUGAUGCAGCGACGCCGCGUGAGGGAUGAAGGCCUUCGGGUCGUAAACCUCUUUCGGCAGGGACGAAGCGAUCAGUGACGGUACCUGCAGAAGAAGCCCCGGCUAACUACGUGCCAGCAGCCGCGGUAAGACGUAGGGGGCGAGCGUUGUCCGGAUUUAUUGGGCGUAAAGCGCGCGUAGGCGGCUGCGCAAGUCGGUUGUGAAACCCCGGGGCUCAACCCCGGAACUGCAUCCGAUACUGCGUGGCUAGAGGUAGGUAGGGGAGAUCGGAAUUCCUGGUGUAGCGGUGAAAUGCGCAGAUAUCAGGAGGAACACCGGUGGCGAAGGCGCCACUCUGGGCCGAAACUGACGCUGAGGAGCGAAAGCAUGGGUAGCAAACAGGAUUAGAUACCCUGGUAGUCCAUGCCGUAAACGUUGGGCACUAGGUGUGGGUUCCAACCAACGGAAUCCGCGCCGUCGCUAACGCAUUAAGUG